rnacentral:rRNA from 1 species
CAGUAGCCGCGGUAAUACGUAGGUGGCAAGCGUUGUCCGGAAUUAUUGGGCGUAAAGGGCUCGCAGGCGGUUUCUUAAGUCUGAUGUGAAAGCCCCCGGCUCAACCGGGGAGGGUCAUUGGAAACUGGGAAACUUGAGUGCAGAAGAGGAGAGUGGAAUUCCACGUGUAGCGGUGAAAUGCGUAGAGAUAUGGAGGAACACCAGUGGCGAAGGCGACUCUCUGGUCUGUAACUGACGCUGAGGAGCGAAAGCGUGGGGAGCGAACAGGAUUAGAUACCCGUGUAGUCCCUGUCUCUUAUAC